GCGGCCGCCGUCGGAUCCGACACCGCUGGCCGCGGCCACGCUAAUCUGCCGGCCCACCGGCUGUAUUGCCAACCGCCGGCGGCCGGCGGCAUCCCGCCGCGUCGCCGAGGGCGGGGAACGCCACGGCCUACAAGAGCAGCUUGAUGCUCAAGAUUGCUGAGGUUCCAGAUGAAUCAAGACCUGAAAUAGGCUCCUCAAGGAACAGAAUACUUGGGUUUGCUGCAAGUUCAACCGCAAUUGUGUUCUGAUUCAACUUCAACUCUGAAUUCUUCCCUCCAGCUCUCAACACUACCAUUCUCACCCUCAGAAAGUACUAUUUUGGAACUAGAUGCUAACUUUGGUGGCUCCAGAGAUUUGUAUCUGCCUGAUUCAAUAGAAUCUUCGAUAUAACCAUGAAGUGAGCUUGAAUAAACUUCCACAUCGUGAACAUCAAUGCCAUUAGCAGAGCGAGUAGCGUCCAUCCAAUAAGAAUCAUAUAAGGGACAUAAGGCUUUCCUGAAACACUUGUUACCAGUUCAGCAUAGAUUAAGUAAGCCUUGCCAGAAGCCAUCUCCGGAUUUGCCUUGCAGAAAGUAAGUUGGUUCAGAUAUUUGAUGCAGGAUUCUUUGUAACCAUAUGAGAACUGUUGAUCGCAGAAGGAUAUAUUGGCCCAACGAAUUGGAUUGAUCUGCAUUAGCCACCUCCAGUAUUGAGGGAUAUUAGAUGGGUAGAUCACAAACCCACUGAACAGAAGGAAAAUGGAGACUAUAAGGCCUGCAUGUAGGUGGCAGUCCAGUACAGUAUGUCAGAUUGAUUAUUUGUGUUAGUUUUGAUAUAACUUACUGGAAUUAAAUCAGGCUAACCAAAUUUUGUAAUACGAAGAUAGAAGAAAUUGUUACCUGCCAACGCAUUUGCUAUUUCAGGAAUGGAUGCCACUGCACUCAGAAAGAAGAAGAUCGAUGAUCCAAAGUAAGCCACAAGAAACAUCUGAAAUAAGUAGUCGAGGAACACUAGUCCAUUGUUUCCCAUUGCCAGCCCCGCUAGAAAGUAUACACAAACUGAAUAAAGGAGUGCCUGCAUUACACAUGACAUGUUUGCAUUAUACAACAAUGGCGCUUAUGUUUAGGAUCUAAUACCAUAAGGAAUGCAUAUAUGUGCAUAUGUUAUAAUCGAUGACCGAAAAGAUCAAAGGAUGGCAUUACCUCAAUAAAAGCCUGCGGCAGAUUUGUGACACAAUGGGCAACAACAUAAGAGGAUGUCCUGAAAAAUCUUCGGUCCCUAUGUUUAUAGAAUGUGGGCCUCUGAAGCAUGUAUAGAGGGAGCUGAGGCAUGUUUAUGAGCAAAAUGCUCAUGGUGUUUACAAACCCAAGAGCUCUCACAGAGUUCAUAUGUUGAAGAUUAUACUGCCCUCCAAGCUUGUAGAACAGUGUCCCAGCAAAUAUACCAAGAAUGCAUGCCUGGCAAAAAGAAAGUUCAGUAAUCUGGCCUAUCCAUAUCAUGACCAAGUAGCCGAUUCUUUUGCAUCUACCAUGUUUUUAACUAUUGGCAAACCUGUAUGACUCGAAGUGUGCUCAACACGUGAAGUUGUUUCAAGAUCCUAAGCUGUCUCUGGAUCAGGGUUUUUGUUGAUUUCGACCAUGGUUGCACAUAUGGCCUCUGAAAUUGCUCCCAUCGUGGUUCAUCCUCAUUGCCCUAUGGUAUUUUUAUUUACCAAUGCAAAAAAUUUCAGUAUUGAAUUGUUUGGAUAGAUCAUCAAGUUUAUGAUGAUAAAUUUGCAAACCAUAAACCUUGUGAUUUGCUACUGGUAAUUGAGGUCUGAAAAUAACAGUUAAUAGAUUAACCUGCCUUAUUGUCAGAUCGUUCAAAUUGAAGGCGGAUAUGUCCUUGGGCGUGACGUAGAGCUGAGAAAACUUUAGUUAGGCGUUGCUUGUGGUCAAAUAUUGGCCCAGUUGCCAGAUACUGCAUCGGCUCUUCAUUUAUGGAAAUUCCCGUCACAACAUCGCCAACUUGGAUGUUUCCUGAACUUUCGAUCCCACUAAUAUAUCUUGAUUUGUUCAAAAGUUUUGUGACAACUACUUCUGAAUGGAAACAUGGGAGCAGUAACACAGUGUUAGCCUUAAAUCAUUAUUUGAGUUGAAUGUGGUUGAUUCCUUCAAGGAUAAGCCAAUUCCUGGCUCGCUCUCAACCCAAUAUGUAAUGAACUCUUUGCUCUUGCCAAUGACUCUUAUAACAUCCAGGUAAUGAUCUGAUGAGUAGUAGCAUUCCACAAGCUCCUCCAGGCCUUGUAUAUUUGACCUUGGCAAUUGGUACUGCAUGCCAUUUUCUGCAGCGAUAUCUUGGAGAAACUCCCAGGACUCCACAUGUGGAGGCUUCAUAUACCUAACAUCAGUAUUUUCUAAUUUUUACCAUCGAUAGUUUUACCUGAAGAUUUGAAGGAAAAAAAAAUGCAGUUAGUUACCCUAGUUGAGCAAAGUAUGUGACUGCAUCCUGUCUUGGGCCUUGGUACAGCAGAUGCCCUUCUCCGAGAAGGAUUAUCCUGUCGAAGAGGUCAAAUGCUUCUUCAGAGAGGUGAUUCAGGGCCAUGACUGCAGAUGAUUGUUGGACUCUACAGACAGCCCUUAUAGUGUUCACCAAAUCAUAGGUCAUUGCUGGAUCUGAGCCUGUCAAUGGCUGGUCAUAGACCAUGACCGAGUACGUCCCCACUGCAAGCUCAGCUAUCGUCAGCUUGUCCCUGUCAGUAUCUGAUAUGCCACUAACACGGAAAUUCUCUAUUUUCUUCAAGUCAAGGAUCUGCAUGACAUAUUCAAGGAAAGGAUCCUGUCCUUCCACGAGUGCAUAGGCGAAGAACUUUCGCAUUUGUGGUGUGAAAUUCUCAGGCCGGAGACCUUGCGUGCAGUCCCUUGCAAACUCGAGUUUCUCGGACUGAGAGGAAGGGAAUGUGCCUACGGGAUAAAUCAGAGUUAAUGGUGUUGUUCUUAAAAAAAAAGAUAGACAGAGAGUUAAGGAUAAUUAAGUUAUUCUGAAAGCAAGAAUAUGUGGCAGUUGUACACCUCUUAAACAUUUGUCCCUUUUUGUUCUCCCAGCAAAUCUGUGAUAUGAUAUAUGGAGAGAGAGUUUUUUGUGUACAUUCAUCAUUAAAUAUUGUUAUAAGUUUUUGUUUUUUCAUGCAUUCUCCAUUUUUCCCAAAGAAAAGAAUAGUUUGUCACUUGACAGCUUGGUUUCAAUUAAUCAUAUUCUUUGCUCUAGCUGUAACAUGAGCUAAAUAUCAUUUAGGUAAGGCUGGUUUGCUAAACCUUGAAAUCUAUGUAAUCUUAGUUGCCUUACUUGUUGAGCUGACCACAGACAUAGGCAAUCAGGCGACUAUUUUGAACUUCAGAUGCUGUCUUUUCAUUGUAGAUGACCAUGCCUGACAGUCCAGAAUCUUCACCUGGCGCGGCUCGACCAGCAAGUAUCUUCAGCAAGGUUGAUUACCAGGUGGACCUAGGACUAGAGUCAUAGAACCCGGCAUGAUAUAGCCAUCAAUUCCUUUCAAGAUUUGAAACUCAGCUGAUCGUUUGCUUAGGGACAGGCUUCUUACUGGUUGCAUAAAGCAUUCGAGCAGCUUGUUACCAAAGGUCUCAUAGCUGAAGGAAGCUGUCUCAAUCUUCGCAGAGUAUGUUAUCCCACAGAAUUUGACGAUCUGCAGUACUAAAAUUAUGUGAAUAACUGUGUAUAACUUAAUAGCUAAAUUUAUGAUAAAUUUCUGUUUUACUACAUCUGAUGGUGUUGUAUUCAAUAACUUUUACA